rnacentral:lncRNA from 1 species
ACGUUUCUGUAAUUCUUCAGGUGAGAGCAAUCUGAAAAUAAAUGCUUUGGGAAUUAUGAAAUUCCCCCAAAAUUGGAAAUUUGAAAGCAAAAUCUGGGAGCACAGGCUCUUGACUCAGAAAUGGCUCUCCAAUUUUUUGCCUCUGUGUUCUCUGUCAGCUGCGCCAGACUGGUGGGGAAUGGCAGCCUGAGGUCAAAGUCUUGAGCUGGGGGUGGAUGCAUCACAAUAACAGAGUCACGGGGUGGAAGAUACAGCCAUGACCAUAAGCUUGACUUCCAGCUUUGUUUCUUUGGUCAGCGCCACUGUGUACAGCCCAUAGGGCCAUCUAGUGGGUCAGCGAGGCCCCGGGAUAAGCAGGUAGCAGAAACUGCCUGAGCACACUGAUUCCCGGGAAAAGGCACUGAGAUUUUAUUUCUUCCCCUGUGUUUCCUGUCAGAUCAUCCAGCAUAUUAUUCCUCACAUUCUUACAUUUCUCAUUCCUUUUCCCCUAGAUGGUUUCUGCUGAGAGCUGGAGGUGAAGUGGUGCAUGCCUGUCCUCUUUCCAUUUAUUGCUGAGGAAAGGUACAACGUGGUCAUUCAGGACUGGUAGUCGAAACGUGUUUCCAGUGAAUGCAUCAGUCAGGAAUCAAAGGUUUGAAAAGUCAUUCAGCCCCUCCAAAUUAGAACACAAACCAUCUGCACAACAGGACGGAGCUCUCCUUAAAGGCUGCAGGCCAGGAUCUGAUCUCAGGGACACCAGGGUAAGCCUGGAGCAUCUCCACAAUAGUUACAACCAGCUCACCCGGGAUCUCACAUUCUGGCCUUGUGCAUGCAUCUUUCUGCCAGAAUAACAUUUUGAGCCCAGCCCUUUAAUGUUAUAUCACCAUAGUGAUGGGCUUCUCUACUGCAGAACUGAUGAGGAAUAGCUGUGGGGUUGUCCAAUGUUAAUUAAUCCCUUUUAGGCAAAAUUUGAGCUCGGUGGAAACUACAAAGACAAGGCAGCCCAUUUGGAGUUCGGCAGCCUCUCACCCUCUUCCAUUUUGGCAAUACGUCUUGCCGAAGUCCCUCAUGCCACAGUAAAUCCCUUGCGUUUCCUCGAAGUUUGAAGUGCGGUGGAAAAUCUACGGGAAGGAAAGACAUGCUGUAUGGGAACUGAAGUAACGCACGUGUCCUUACGGCUCUGUGUAUAAUGUCUGGAAAGCCUGGGUUGUGAUGCAGACUCUCCAAGGCGUUGCAUUUCUGGGUGUGAAUGAAGCAGCAGCCAGCAUAACCACGCUCAGAGGACAAGCUACAUCUGAGGCGCUGACUUCAGGCACUGCCUGGCUUAGACCGUUCAGCUCUAAUUGCCCUAAGGUAUUGUAGCUAAUGGUGAGAGAUAAGCGUCUCCAAAGGUACCUCUCUCUCCGUUGACUGUGCGAGUGCCUUGGGGAUGUCUCUCAGUUGAGGUACCUCAGGCAGGUCCCUAAAGUUAGGCGAGAUGUGUCCGGGCUUGAAGGCAUGUCCACGGGGAAAAACAGAUCCCCAAGGCAGUGCUGACUUCAGUUAUGCGUGGCACAGUGUCACGCAGACACUCCGAUCCUGAAAGCUGGCUUGCUCACGUAAAACCAACUCAAGUGCAUCUUACUCUGUGCUGCUCCGUGUUUCUAGGUCUGGAUUAGCACGUGCAGACACAUUUUGGGUGUCCCUGCCUCCACCGUUCAGACACACCCUCAAGCUGCAUCCAGAAUCACGUCUAAAUACAUUACCCAACCCACUGUACUGUCUGCAGUCCGGCCAUCACGGCAGCGGACACAUCUGAGGUAGAUUUACUUUACUCGAUUGAGUGUGACAGAUCAUCCCAGCCACAAAUUU